AUAUUGUAAAUAUUUUCUAAUAAAAUAUAACAUAUGAAUUUAUAAAAUAUAAUUUUUAUUAUAAAUUUUUUAAUAAAUAUAAUAUACAAAUUUGUAUUAAUUUAAAAUGAAUUAAAAUAAUUGUUAUGUACAUUUGCACGUAUGCUCUUAGUGGUCUCCUAGGAUUGAGUGAGUGGUUGCUUGAAUAGUAUGAUCCAACGAGUGGAAAUGAUCAAAAAAGUAGAUCUAACGGUCAAAAACUUAUAAAUACAAAGGGGACUAUAUCAUAAGAGUAUAGUAGCUGGACUAUAUAUGUAUAGAAUUGAGCUAUAAUACUUUUAGAAGCACCAACCCCUUGGUGCUACUAAGUUUUUAGCCCUUGGAUCUACUCCUUGAUUAUUAAUAGCCAUUGGAUCAAACACUAUUCCACCUACCACCAUCUACCACCAUCAUCCCAACCCCACAUCUCUUCAUUCAAUGGCUAAAAGCUCAAAAGCACUACCUUCAUGGUGCUUUUGAAAGUAUUCUAGCUCAACUCCAUAUAUAUAUAUAUAUAUAUAUAUAAAGUACGUCUCCCGUGCUUUCGAAAGUAUGGAGGCCUCCGUGCUUGUAAGUUGUUUUCGAUUAUUCGACAUCCGAUUCGACGAUCGGCUCCGUUAGGCAUAAUUUACACUAUUGGAACUAUCUAGAAACCAAAUUUUAUAUUUUUUCGACAUCAUUUACCAAGCGAUCACAGGGUCUCAAAAUUGACUAUUUUAACGGCCGAUGUGGCACGUUUUUAAAUUCAACGGUGUAGAAGUUUCCAAAUUAUAUAAAAUUUUUAUAGAAAAUUCUACUUAAAAUUAAGAGUAAGAACAAUACUUCCGAUUUGAAAUUUGAGUUUUUUAUCACUAUUUUUUAUGAGAUUUUUAUUUUCAGCCGUUCAUUUUGAAGCUACUCGUUCACUAGGCAAACAAAGUCAAAAAAUUAUGAAAUUUGGUUUCUAGAUAGUUCCAAUAGCGUAGAUCAUUUUUAACAGAACCGAUCACCGAAUUGGAAGUCCCAUCAUCGAAAACAACUUACAAGUACGGAGGCCUCCAUACUUUCGAAAGCAUAGGAGCCU
rnacentral:lncRNA from 1 species